GAAAAAUAAAGGUUAUAUAUACAAACUUUUAGUCAAAGAAUAUUCUGCAAAAUAAAUAAAAAUAUAUAUGGUGCAGUAUGUUCAGUAGAAGUGUCAGGGUGAGGGUGGUAGAUGUAUAAUUAGACAUGUCUCCCUUUCAGAUAGGGCCAGGAAGUGUAGAUAAAUGGCUCAGGAUAAGGAUUAUGCUUUCAUUUUUCUUUUUUCUUUUUUUUAUUUGUAAUCUGCCACCCUGCAUGUUUAUUUCCGGAGCUUCCUGCUAUUCGCUGAAGUCUGGUUACCUCACUGGCUGUGGAGAUAUGCUUGAUUUUAUCGGCUAUCUUGUAAGUGCAAUAAAUUUGUAAUUUUUAAUACCAUCUGCACAAUACUCUUUCCCUUUUUCCCCCCACUUAUUCACCUAUUUGGUGUUUUAUUUUUAAUUUUUUUUAUGUGUAGAUCUCAUUUAGCCCUUUUUGGUUCCUUUCCUCUUUUGGAAGCCCAGAAAUUUUUGUACGAAAGAUAUAGGAAAGCAUGUUCAAGGAGAAUGCUCCCUGUGUUCGGUAUUCUGUAACUCCCGAACUAGAACCGGCCGUAGAUCCAUGGUGUUCGUGGAAGUGCCUGGCCGAAAUGUGUUCCAAGCACUUGACGACCAGAUCCCGCUGCCAGCGUUCGGGAGACAAGAUGGCCACCAUCCAUUGUCCCAACCACGUGCGUUCGCAUGCAUGAAAUGGCAGCCACCCAGUGGAGCAUUCUAUUAAAUAUUUCCUUUGUGGUUUUCGUACUAGAUACAUAACGUUCCACGUUCUAAUUGGUCUCUGGGGUGGUCUCGGUUCGGGAACUGAACCAAAUAAACUAAACAAAACUGGGACAUGAAUCCAAACGAACAGAAAUAGCCGAACAGUGAUGGGGUAUUCCUUCACAAGGAUGAUAUCAGAGAGCUAGAGAUGGUGGUGGAUGAUAGAGAGCUAGAGAUAAGGAUAUCAGAGAUCUGGAAAUGGAGGUGGAUGCUAUCAGAGAUCUGGAAAUAGAGGUGGAUGCUAUCAGAGAGCUAGAGAAGAGUAUGAUAUCAGAGAGCUGGAAAUUGGGGUGGAUGAUAUCAAAGAGCUGGAGAUGGGGGUGGAUGUUAUCAGAGAGCUGGAGAUGGGGGUGGAUGUUAUCAGAGAGCUGGAGAUGGGGGUGGAUGUUAUCAGAGAGCUGGAGGUGGGGGGGUCGAUGAUAUCAGAGAGCUGGAGGUGGAUGAUAUCAGAGAGCUGGAGGUGGAUGAUAUCAGAGAGCU